rnacentral:tRNA from 1 species
UAGUUCUCUCCUAGCAAACGCCACCUUGACAUGGUGGAGGCCGAGGGUUCAAAUCCCUC